UAUUGCACGCAAAGGUAAUAGUUAAAUAGUUUAAAGGAAACUUUAAAUAAUUUAUAUCGGGAGGAAAUGCACGAUAU
rnacentral:sRNA from 1 species